rnacentral:rRNA from 1 species
GACGAACCGAGCGAACGUUAUUCGGAAUCACUGGGCUUAAAGGGCGCGUAGGCGGGCCAUCAAGUCAGGGGUGAAAGCCCCCAGCUCAACUGGGGAAGUGCCUCUGAUACUGGUCGUCUCGAGGGAGAUAGGGGCGUGCGGAACUUCCGGUGGAGCGGUGAAAUGCGUAGAUAUCGGAAGGAACACCGGUGGCGAAAGCGGCGCGCUGGAUCUCUUCUGACGCUGAGGCGCGAAAGCCAGGGGAGCGAACGGG